UACACACCCAACUAUAGAUACUAAACAUAGUAUAGAGACUAAACAUACAGCAGUUAGCUUGGAGAAAAAAGAGGCUAAUAAUCAGCUAGCACAACAGGCUAACACUCAGCUAGCUGGGGUUGCACUGUGUAUAAGACAGUAGUUUUGGAAUUGUUAGUUAGAUUACUUGUUGGUUAUUACUGCAUUGUCGGAACUAGAAGCACAAGCAUUUCGCUACACUCGCAUUAACAUCUGCUAACCAUGUGUAUGUGACAAAUAAAAUUUGAUUUGAUUUGAUUUAGCACAACAGGCUAACACUCAGCUAGCACAAUAGGCUAACACUCAGCUAGCACAACAGGCUAACACUCAGCUAGCACAACAGGCUAACACUCAGCCAGCACAACAGGAUAACACUCAGCUUGUGAAACAGGCUAAAACUCAACUAGCACAACAGGCUAACACUCAGCUAUGUACAACAGGCUAACACUCAGCUAGCGCAACAGGAUAACACUCAGCUUGUGCAACAGGCUAACACUCAGCUAGCGCAACAGGAUAACACUCAGCUUGUGCAACAGGCUAACACUCGACUAGCACAACAGGCUAACUCUCAACUAGCACAACAGGCUAACACACAGACAUUUGACACCUCGCCCUCAACCCCACCACACGCCUUCCCCCAGCUCCACACCCAGAGAGACAGAGCUACAGUCCUGCACUGAAAGAGACAGACCAGAGGAACAGCUGAGACCAGACCAGCUGGGACCAUCAGAACUACUGUCCUCCAGCUGGGACCAUCAGAACUACUGUCCUCCAGCUGGGACCAUCAGAACUACUGUCCUCCAGCUGGGACCAUCAGAACUACUGUCCUCCAGCUGGGACCAUCAGAACUACUGUCCUCCAGCUGGGACCAUCAGAACUACUGUCCUCCAGUGAGACCAUCAGAACUACUGUCCUCCAGCUGUGACCAUCAGAACUACUGUCCUCCAGUGAGACCAUCAGAACUACUGUCCUCCAGCUGGGACCAUCAGAACUACUGUCCUCCAGCUGGGACCAUCAGACUUACUGUCCUCCAGCUGAGACCAUCAGAACUACUGUCCUCCAGCUGGGACCAUCAGAACUACUGUCCUCCAGCUGUGACCAUCAGAACUACUGUCCUCCAGCUGGGACCAUCAGAACUACUGUCCUCCAGUGAGACCAUCAGAACUACUGUCCUCCAGCUGAGACCAGCAGAACUACUGUCCUCCAGCUGUGACCAUCAGAACUACUCUCCUCCAGCUGAGACCAUCAGAACUACUCUUCUCCAGCUGGGACCUGACCAGCUGAGACCAUCAGAACUACUCUUCUCCAGCUGGGACCAGACCAGCUGAGACCAUCAGAACUACUCUUCUCCAGCUGAGACCAUCAGAACUACUCUUCUCCAGCUGAGACCAUCAGAACUACUCUUCUCCAGUGAGACCAGCAGAACUACUCUCCUCCAGCUGAGACCAUCAGAACUACUCUCCUCCAGCUGAGACCAGCAGAACUACUCUCCUCCAGCUGAGACCAGCAGAACUACUCUCCUCCAGCUGAGACCAUCAGAACUAUUCUUCUCCAGCUGGGACCAGACCAGCUGAGACCAUCAGAACUACUCUUCUCCAGCUGGGACCAGACCAGCUGAGACCAUCAGAACUACUGUCCUCCAGCUGAGACCAUCAGAACUACUGUCCUCCAGUGAGACCAUCAGAACUACUGUCCUCCAGCUGAGACCAGCAGAACUACUGUCCUCCAGUGAGACCAUCAGAACUACUGUCCUCCAGCUGAGACCAGCAGAACUACUGUCCUCCAGCUUAGACCAUCAGAACUACUGUCCUCCAGCUGGGACCAUCAGAACUACUGUCCUCCAGCUGAGACCAGCAGAACUACUGUCCUCCAGCUGGGACCAUCAGAACUACUGUCCUCCAGCUGAGACCAGCAGAACUACUGUCCUCCAGUGAGACCAUCAGAACUACUGUCCUCCAGCUGAGACCAUCACAACUACUCUCCUCCAGCUGGGACCAUCAGAACUACUGUCCUCCAGCUGGGACCAUCAGAACUACUGUCCUCCAGCUGUGACCAUCAGAACUACUGUCCUCCAGCUGGGACCAUCAGAACUACUGUCCUCCAGCUGGGACCAUCAGAACUACUGUCCUCCAGCUGAGACCAUCAGAACUACUGUCCUCCAGCUGGGACCAUCAGAACUACUGUCCUCCAGCUGGGACCAUCAGAACUACUGUCCUCCAGUGAGACCAUCAGAACUACUGUCCUCCAGUGAGACCAUCAGAACUACUGUCCUCUAGUGAGACCAUCAGAACUACUGUCCUCCAGCUGAGACCAGCAGACCUGCUGUCCUCCAGUGAGACCAGUAGAACUACUGUCCUCCAGCUGAGACCAGCAGACCUGCUGUCCUCCAGUAUUCACACAGACAGUAUUAAGACUAAUUUCAAAGCCAUCGGUUCCAGCUAAACGACGUCUGCUCCCGUCCGCACUGACACCUUUCGAAGGGGAAGUUUUGGAGGACGGGAUGCGGAACUCUUGUAAAGGUGGAAACGAGGCAUUGCCAGAGAGCCUAGAGACUGGUGUUUUACUGUUAAACAUUUAUAACCCCCCAGUCUACAUUUACCCAUCACCACCACCAGCCCAUAGAGACCCCCC
ensembl:lncRNA